rnacentral:lncRNA from 1 species
UGCACCAACACCUAGUCCUACCUCUAUUGCUCCCGCUAUCUUCUCUAUUCUGAAAGGUCUUGAAGAACAGUUAGUGGUUAACACCAAGAAAUUUCAACACUAAAAUUAUGGGUUGAAACAAUUUCACCAACCCUUUGUCAAAUUUGUCAUAUUUGUUUUUUGGAUGCUUUGAUGAAUAAGAGCUCAUUAUGAUCUUCCACUUUCACGGUCUGUCAUCGGCGCGCCGUCAUUUCCACCGUUUGUCGUGAGGGGGAGUAUGUUUCCAGCCAGGUUUCAGGUUUCAGGCUUUUAGACUCCACUAGUCAAUGAUGGUAGUCCUUGCAGUUUUUUUUCGCUUCUAGCCACUACAGGCCCCACUAGUCAGUGAUGACAUUCCCUGUAGUUUUGUUGCUUUUAGCCACUACAGGCCCCAUCAGUCAGUGAUGACAUUCCCUGUAGUUUUGUCGCUUUUAGCCACUAUAGGCCCCAUCAGUUAGUGAUGACAAUCCCUAUAGUUUUGAUACAAGCCCC